UGUCAAUCCUCUCCCAUUUGACUCUCAUCAUUCCUCUUCUCUCUCUCUCUCCCUCUCUCUCUCUCUUUCUUUCUCGCACUCUAUCGCAGGCGACCCUCCUACCAGCCACUGUCCACCACUGUCGCAUACGAGCACCUAUCUCCUCACCGGCGACGGUACAACCCACAUCCCCACCAACGACGGUACCACCCAUCUCCCUACCAGCGACAGACAACAGUAGCUACUUUGAUUUGUGUCUCCUCCAGCGCAUAUCAGGUGGCCAAAGAAAUGGAGCAAAUGGAGAUGUAGCCAAUGAUCGCUACUUGGAGGGAGGUUGGUGAAUCAGAGCACCAAGAAAAGGGCCAGUGAACCCAAAUGUGUUGUUACUGGAAAGAGAAUCCAAGGGAACUGCUGAUCUCUCCACUUAUGUAUCUGAACCUCGCAAGAAAAACUUGUUUUUGCAAAGUUUAUACAAAGAGGAGUAGGAAAAAUCACAUAUGACAAAUGGUAACAACAGCGGGAAGCAUGCUUUUCAUAGUGACAUUCCAGAUAAGGAUAUAGUUGAAGCUCUAGAAAAUGAGGUUCAAUAUUGGGCAGACUUUUCAAAAGUUCACUAUCAUCCUCUUUGUAUAAACUUAGUUUGUAUGGAAUAUAAACUUUGUAUAAACUUUUAAUGUCAAAAGUUCACUCUACUUAGUUUGUAUGGAAUUUGACAUUAAAAGUAAUUCCUUUUUGGAUGGUUAGAAGUGAAAUGGAUGCAAAUUGUGAAAUGAUUGAUAAUAUAUGUAUUG